GCGGCAAAAGCUCAAAUUUGAAAUCUGGUACCUUCGGUGCCCGAGUUGUAAUUUGGAGAGGGCAACUUUGGGGCCGUUCCUUGUCUAUGUUCCUUGGAACAGGACGUCAUAGAGGGUGAGAAUCCCGUGUGGCGAGGAGUGCGGUUCUUUGUAAAGUGCCUUCGAAGAGUCGAGUUGUUUGGGAAUGCAGCUCUAAGUGGGUGGUAAAUUCCAUCUAAAGCUAAAUAUUGGCGAGAGACCGAUAGCGAACAAGUACAGUGAUGGAAAGAUGAAAAGAACUUUGAAAAGAGAGUGAAAAAGUACGUGAAAUUGUUGAAAGGGAAGGGCAUUUGAUCAGACAUGGUGUUUUGUGCCCUCUGCUCCUUGUGGGUAGGGGAAUCUCGCAUUUCACUGGGCCAGCAUCAGUUUUGGUGGCAGGAUAAAUCCAUAGGAAUGUAGCUUGCCUCGGUAAGUAUUAUAGCCUGUGGGAAUACUGCCAGCUGGGACUGAGGACUGCGACGUAAGUCAAGGAUGCUGGCAUAAUGGUUAUAUGCCGCCCGUC
rnacentral:rRNA from 1 species